rnacentral:rRNA from 1 species
AUUGAACGCUGGCGGCAGGCUUAACACAUGCAAGUCGCACGAGUGGCGGACGGGUGAGUAAUGCUUGGGAAACUAGCUUAUGGAGGGGGAUAACUACGGGAAACGGUAGCUAAUACCGCGUACCAUAGGAUGAGCCCAAUUGGGAUUAGGUAGUUGUUGAGGUAAAGGCUCACCAAGCCGACGAUCCCUAGCUGGUCUGAGAGGAUGACCAGCCACACUGGGACUGAGACACGGCCCAGACUCCUACGGGAGGCAGCAGUGGGGAAUAUUGCGCAAUGGGGGCAACCUGACGCAGCCAUGCCGCGUGAAUGAAGAAGGCCUUCGGGUUGUAAAGUGCUUUCGGUAGAGAGGCGUUAACUACAGAAGAAGCACCGGCUAACUCCGUGCCAGCAGCCGCGGUAAUAC